rnacentral:tRNA from 1 species
GCCUCCGUAGCUCAGCUGGAUAGAGCACAGGUUUCCUAAACCUGGGGUCGCAAGUUCGAACCUUGCCGGGGGUGCCA